UUGUCAUGCUAAUCAAACCAGGAUGAAUCGCGAUGUAAGAAGCUUGAUUUUGAUACAUAAAGUAAUGCAGAAUCACUAGAAAGUUGAAUAAAUCUCAUUGAAGUUAGGAUGAAGAAGCUAUCCCACUUUCAAAUCAGGUGAUCACAGUUUUCCUGUUUGGGAAUAUGACAGCUUCUUUUUCAUUCUAAUCAAACCAGGAUGAAUCGUGAUGUAAGAAGCUUAAUUGUAUACAUAAUGUAGUGGAGAACCAUUAGGAAGUUGAAUAAAUCUCAUAGGAGUUAGGAUGAAGAAGCUAACCCACUUUCAAAUCAGGUGAUCACAGUUUUCCUGUUUGGGAAUAUGACAGCUUCUUUGUCAUUCUAAUCAAACCAGGAUGAAUCGCGAUGUAAGAAGCUUGAUUUGAUACAUAAAGUAGUGCAGAACCUUUAAGAAGUUGAAUAAAUCUCAUAGGAGUUAGUGUUGAGAUGAGGAGAGUUAAGUGAAGAAGGGAGAUGAGGUUUGAGUUGUAUGAAGAUAGGGAAGGCUAGGAAGGUUUGGGAGCUUUGGGAUCAACCAGUCCGUACAAGGCCGUACAUGACCUUACCAUCCGUACAAGAUGGAAUCGACCAAAGCUCAACCAAACCUCACCACAAGUUACCCGAGUUACUUAAGUAAAGAGGAGAAGUUACCUUAGCCUUUGUGGGAUGGAUCUGACCGUUGGAAAGGAUAAGGGAGAGUCUUGGACAGGCUGUCACAGCUGGAAAGUAAAA